CGAACGUUCACAUUUGUAAGAGUGGCGAACGGGUGAGUAAUACAUAAGUACCUGGCAUCUACAGGGGGAUAACUGAUGGAAACGUCAGCUAAGACCGCAUAGAUCGCAUGAAGAAAAGUGCCGGGGCUGGUAGAUGAUGGACUUAUGGCGCAUUAGCUAGUUGGUAGGGUAACGGCCUACCAAGGCGACGAUGCGUAGCCGACCUGAGAGGGUGACCGGCCACACUGGGACUGAGACACGGCCCAGACUCCUACGGGAGGCAGCAGUAGGGAAUUUUCGGCAUGGGGGAAACCCUGACCGAGCAACGCCGCGUGAAGGAAGAAGUAAUUCGUUAUGUAAACUUCUGUCAUAGAGGAAGAAGGUGGAUCUAGGGAAUGAUAUCCAAGUGACGGUACCUGACUAAGAAGCCCCGGCUAACUACGUGCCAGCAGCCGCGGUAAUACGUAGGGGGCAGCGUUAUCCGAUUACUGGGUGUAAAGGGAGCGUAGACGGCACGGCAAGCCAGAUGUGAAAGCCCGGGGCUCACCCCGGGACUGCAUUGGAACUGCUGAGCUAGAGUGUCGGAGAGGCAAGUGGAAUUCCUAGUGUAGCGGUGAAAUGCGUAGAUAUUAGGAGGAACACCAGUGGCGAAGGCGGCUUGCUGGACGAUGACUGACG
rnacentral:rRNA from 1 species